GACGAACCGUGCGAACGUUAUUCGGAAUCACUGGGCUUAAAGCGCGUGUAGGCGGGCCGGCACGUCCGAGGCUGAAAUCCCCCGGCUCAACCGGGGAACGGGCCCGGAUACGACCGGCCGUGGAGGGGGGGUAGGGGGAGCCGGAACUCACGGUGGAGCGGUGAAAUGCGUUGAGAUCGUGAGGAACGCCCGUGGCGAAAGCGGGCUCCUGGGCCCCGGCCUGACGCUGA
rnacentral:rRNA from 1 species